rnacentral:pre_miRNA from 1 species
UACAUACUCCCUCGUUUCAAAAAAUUUGUCUUAGAUUUGUUUAGAUAUGAAGGUAUCUAGUCACGUUUUAGUAUUUUGACACAUUCAUUUCUAGACAAACUUAAGACAAGAAUUUUAGGACGGAGGAAGUACUAU